GCGCGAAAACUUUACAAUGCCGGCAACGGCGAUAAGGGGACCUCGAGUGCCAGGUUACAAAUCUGGCUGUCGUGAUGCCUAAAAAGCAUUGCAUAGCAAGGGCCGGGCAAGACCGGUGCCAGCCGCCGCGGUAACACCGGCGGCUCGAGUGGUAACCGUUAUUAUUGGGUCUAAAGGGUCUGUAGCCGGCCGGAUAAGUCUCUUGGGAAAUCCAGCAGCUUAACUGUUGGGCUUUCAGGAGAUACUGUCUGGCUCGAGGCCGGGAGAGGUGAGAGGUACUUCAGGGGUAGGGGUGAAAUCUUGUAAUCCUUGAAGGACCACCAGUGGCGAAGGCGUCUCACCAGAACGGACCUGACGGCAAGGGACGAAAGCUAGGGGCACGAACC
rnacentral:rRNA from 1 species